rnacentral:rRNA from 1 species
AAUGACUCUCGGCAACGGAUAUCUCGGCUCACGCAUCGAUGAAGAACGUAGCAAAAUGCGAUACUUGGUGUGAAUUGCAGAAUCCCGUGAACCAUCGAGUUUUUGAACGCAAGUUGCGCCCGAGAGCCAUUCGGCUAAGGGCACGUCUGCCUGGGUGUCACGC